UACGGGGGGGGCAAGCGUUGUUCGGAAUUACUGGGCGUAAAGGGCUCGUAGGUUGCCAACUAAGUCAGACGUGAAAUCCCUCGGCUUAACCGGGGAACUGCGUCUGAUACUGGAUGGCUUGAGUUCGGGAGAGGGAUGCGGAAUUCCAGGUGUAGCGGUGAAAUGCGUAGAUAUCUGGAGGAACACCGGUGGCGAAGGCGGCAUCCUGGACUGACACUGACACUGAGGAGCGAAAGCCAGGGGAGCAAACGGG
rnacentral:rRNA from 1 species